UUUCACGCGAAAAACACAAAAUGAGUUCUUACAUAGUUGCUGAGUUUGGUGAAAAUAUCUCAUUCCGUUCAUGAGUUAUAGCCAUUUUAGUAAACGUUUUGGCGGCCCUUAGGGACCGUGAAUCGAAAUUUCGGUUACACUUUAUUUUAGUGCCGUAGUUGCAUUGUAAUUACUCAAAUAAGUACUGAGUAAUAUUAAUUAACUACAUGUACUUACUAUAGAGUUACAGUUAGGGUUAGGGUUUGGUUUAGGGUUAGUUACUGCAUAAUUUACUGUUAAUACUAUAGUAAGUACAUGUAGUAACAUGUAACUACGGCACUGUAAAAUAAAGUGUUACCAAAGUUUCUACUUUUUUUUUGAUAACUAUUGACAAUCAGACUCCUUUAGUUCUGAUUGGGUCAAAAACCUAGGACUAGUUCGCAAAAGUAUAGGUUUUUCAAAAAAAUCCAAAAUACCCGAAAAUUUUACUAACGAAUCUGAGGCAUGCAUCUUGUCAGCCUUGAGCCAAGGAUUCCAACGAUAUAAGACACUUGACUCAAUCAACCCUCAAAGACAAUGGUUUAUCCAAUAUAUAUAUCCAUGUAGAAUGAAUGUGUAUCUGUUUAUUUAGGUGAAAGCAGAGAUACAGAAGAAGACUGGAAAGAAAGUCUGCUUACACUGCCAUGAACUUCAGAGCGAUUGCUACUGAAAUACAGUACAUAGCCAAGGUGCAGUUGGGAGAGAAUGAAUGUGUUCAUGCUAAAAUGUCUUAAUCUUUGUUUUGGAGAGGGAGUGGAGCUGGUUGGAAUUCUGCUUUUAUCCUAGAAGCAAACAGGAUGAAAUCAAACCCUUCUGAAAACUUCUGAACACAUGAUCCUGUUCUCCAGAGAGAGACUCGUACUGUACAUGACAAACAUUUUUCAAUAAAAUCCUGAAGCAGAA